GUGAAUCAUCGAAUCUUUGAACGCACAUUGCGCCCCCUGGUAUUCCGGGGGGCAUGCCUGUUCGAGCGUCAUUUACACCCCUCAAGCUCAGCUUGGUCUUGGGCGGCCGCGCUCCCCCCUCCCCCCGGGGAGACGGGGGAACGCGCCCCCGAAAUGCAGCGGCGGUGCGGCCGGGUCCCCUAGCGCAGUGACUUUUUAUCUCGCUACAAGGAACCCGCGUCCCGUUCCGGCCGGACAACAACCACAAUUUUAUCACGAUUGACCUCGGAUCAGGUAGGGAUACCCGCUGAACUUAAGCAU
rnacentral:misc_RNA from 1 species